rnacentral:rRNA from 1 species
UGCUACACAUGCAGUUCGAACGAUGAUCCGGUGCUUGCACCGGGGAUUAGUGGCGAACGGGUGAGUAACACGUGAGUAACCUGCCCUUAACUCUGGGAUAAGCCUGGGAAACUGGGUCUAAUACCGGAUAUGACUCCUCAUCGCAUGGUGGGGGGUGGAAAGCUUUUGUGGUUUUGGAUGGACUCGCGGCCUAUCAGCUUGUUGGUGAGGUAAUGGCUCACCAAGGCGACGACGGGUAGCCGGCCUGAGAGGGUGACCGGCCACACUGGGACUGAGACACGGCCCAGACUCCUACGGGAGGCAGCAGUGGGGAAUAUUGCACAAUGGGCGGAAGCCUGAUGCAGCGACGCCGCGUGAGGGAUGACGGCCUUCGGGUUGUAAACCUCUUUCAGUAGGGAAGAAGCGAAAGUGACGGUACCUGCAGAAGAAGCGCCGGCUAACUACGUGCCAGCAGCCGCGGUAAUACGUAGGGCGCAAGCGUUAUCCGGAAUUAUUGGGCGUAAAGAGCUCGUAGGCGGUUUGUCGCGUCUGCCGUGAAAGUCCGGGGCUCAACUCCAG